rnacentral:tRNA from 2 species
AAGUAAGAAGUGGCGGCGCAAGUUGCAGUAGGACGAAAAUCCGUUGGUUUCACAGGACCGUGAGGGUUCGACUCCCUCUAUCCCCAACGAGACACUUCAAUUGACUAAUUUCAAGUUGUUUGGAUUCACA